GGGGCAGAGCAUUCAAAUAAGAGAUACGGAAACUAUAAAGAACAUGACAUGAUGACAAGGAAACAACCAACCAGAUCAGGUGAGGAGCCCCCACCAGAAGGGGCAGCCUCGCCCCACUGGCCUCACGGCUACCUCUGUGCCUGCUGGAAAGCCCCCAGCUCACGGUGGAGAACCCCGGCGUCCCAUCACAGCUCUGCAGCACCAACGAGCUCCUGACGGACACAGAGCUCCGUGUCUUCACCCAGAAACCCAGAACGUGACCUCAUCCGCUUGCAGAAUCAACUGAAAUGUGUGAAAAUGUGCAAGCUGUAAGGUUUUUGAUUUUGGUUUUUUGUUUUGGGUUGUAUUUUUUUUUUUUUUUUAGGUUGAAUGGAAGACUCCAUGUUCAAACAAAUAUUUUCCAAUCUCUCAAUCUGAAAAUGUCUUUUGGUGGACGAGGUACCCAGCAGUAUGCCGUGGCCCUCGGCACGCACUGGAGUCCCCUGACGGACCGGAGAGAGCACUAAGACCUGUUUGCAAACAGCACCCGGGUGCAUCAGAAACCUCCUGGAAAAGGCAUCAAACCCAGAUUUCCAGGCCCCGCGGCCAGUUUCUGCCCGAGAAGGUCCACGGUGCAGCCCGGGGUCAUGCAUGGCCAGCAAGCUCCCAGGUCACGCCACGGCUCCUGGGGCCAGUCCGGGGACCGCACUUUGAGAAGCCCCGCCCUCCACAAUGGAAGGCUGGAAACGACGGCAAGGAUCACCCAGCGUGGUCCCAAGGAGAGCCCAGGAACACUCCCAGGGCCGAGGUGGGUUAAGAGGGCCUGGUCCGGUCCCGCGGCUGGAGUGAUGGAUGCGAGGCUGUUGCACCUGCCACCUCGGUCACAGGCGGGGCUGAGGACAGGAGCUCCAGCACCCCAUUAGCACAUACGACCGGGAGCCCCUGCCGGUUCCCAUUUCCUGCACCUGGGGGUUGCAAAAGGAGGCCACAUAGAUGCCGAGACGCCACCUUCAACACCCAGCCCACUCUCCUCCCUACCCUCCAAGCCAGGGCUCCGUGCCUCCCUUCCAGAAAUAAACUGCAGUGGCUACUCAGCAAGGUAUCGAGGUGGGGAGGGUGGAGACCGGGACCCCAGGGAAGAGAGGGAGCACAGCAGAGCCCCAGGACAGCUGAGUGGAGGCCAAACCCCUCCAUCCUGAGCAGAGCCUGGAGACAGUGGUCUCUGCGGAGGGGGGUGGGGGGGGCGGGCACGCACGCACACUGCACCCAGUGUCCAGCCGCACAAUGCACAAGGGGCCGCCGGGGCAGGCGGCCAGGGCCCACUCAUGCCAGUACCAUCUGGGAGCCCUUGCCAGGCCUCGGAGGGCCGGCAGAAGAAGCUGGACUCUGUCCUGGGGCACAGUCGGGCUCUAUUCUUAUCUCAAGGGGGAAUGCGUGACCCUCCUUGCCGUGAAUGGGGGCCCCUGGCGAGGCGGAGGAGGAAACAGAGCCGGCACUGUGCCCUGGAGGGCUCCCCACACGGCUCCCGGCUCCGACCAGCCCCUCGUGGCGGGGCCUUGCACAGCUUCCGACAAGGACAGGCCAGACCGGCGGCAGCCGAGGAACUGGACCGCCCCGGGCACGCCGGCCCCCCCCCUCGCACGGCAGGCCGCCAGGCUCCCAGGUGAGACCCACAGGACCAGGCCCUCGAGGCAAUGCAGCUUGCCAGAUCCCGAAGGAAGCAGUCCAGCUGUGCUCCGCACCCAUCAACAACCCCCUGCCCUGCGCAGCAGAUAUGCCCCCACCAACCUCCCCCAGUUACCAUCUGCACUGGGAAUACUUGACCUCAAGGGGCCCGCGUGACCCCGACCUUCAUGUAUCUAAUACUUCUAGAUCUCAUAGUGCAGACCAAGGACCCGCAUGAGAGCCAGAGCUGCCACCGUGUACCCAGAGAUCCGAGUCACCGAUCUCCUGAGUCUGCCAGUAGGAAAGCCCUUUGCGGGGGGUUCAGUGACCAGUGUGGGGGAGGUAGGGGUACCAGGAAAUUCUGGAGGGCUGGGGGGGUGGACAGAAGAGAAGCUACAGAAGCCAGAGUCAUCGGGGGAGGGCUUAAAAUAACUAUUUACUUGUCACCCAUCCCAUGCCACGGCUGUGGGUCUGGUGUGAUUAUUCCCACGGUAAAGAUGAGAAAACAGAGGCCCCGAGAAGACAAGAGCCGUUCCUCACGACGUUGAGUCAGAGCCCAGGUCGGCACGCGGGCCUUCAAUCCAGCACACUCUUUCCACGACCGCGGCCCCCUGCCCGGUGCCCGCGGGACGUGGAAGGACACACAGGAGCGAGGCAUGGGGAAGCGUGUGAGUGAUCAGGGGACUGAUCGAACUUGUCACUACGAGCUGAGUUCCCUUUUUACAUUCUCCCUCUAAAAAAAAGGGGGGAGAGCGGAAAAAAGGAAAAAAGAAAAAAGCUCUGGGUGGGCCUGCCAAUCCCAGUCUUGGCCAACAAAUGGGGAGUUGAGUCAUUCCAAGGGCUGUGAAUCGGUACAACCUUUCCGAAGAGCAAACCAAUUUCAGUGCGAGAAGGUGUCAUCGUGAGGAUGGUCGGUGCCAGGGAUUUUAAGAGUCCAAAAAAAAAAAAAAAAAGGAAGCAACCUCAGUGUCCAUCACUAGGGGAUUA